AGCGAACGCUGGCGGCAGGCUUAACACAUGCAAGUCGAGCGGGCGUAGCAAUACGUCAGCGGCAGACGGGUGAGUAACGCGUGGGAACGUACCUUUUGGUUCGGAACAACACAGGGAAACUUGUGCUAAUACCGGAUAAGCCCUUACGGGGAAAGAUUUAUCGCCGAAAGAUCGGCCCGCGUCUGAUUAGCUAGUUGGUGAGGUAAUGGCUCACCAAGGCGACGAUCAGUAGCUGGUCUGAGAGGAUGAUCAGCCACAUUGGGACUGAGACACGGCCCAAACUCCUACGGGAGGCAGCAGUGGGGAAUAUUGGACAAUGGGCGCAAGCCUGAUCCAGCCAUGCCGCGUGAGUGAUGAAGGCCCUAGGGUUGUAAAGCUCUUUUGUCGGGAAGAUAAUAAGG
rnacentral:rRNA from 1 species